UCAAGUGAAGCCUGGGUCCAAAUCUCCCUGAGACUUUGUGCACCCACUUCAGAAAAUCUGCAUACUCAGUGCAUACAGGCCUAUUUAAGUGCUGUCAGAUUCAAUGUAUAUUGGCCCAAUGGCUUGUUAUUACAUUCAGUGUGUCCUUGUGUCAGGUUCAUUUUCAGAAACCCUCACGGACUUGAUGCAAUAGCAAGACACUGACCUGGUUGGCGACAGAAACACAGGCCAUUAUUAUUUAGAAAGUACAAACUGUGGAGGAUCGCUGUACUCAACCCGGCACAGAGCACUGUGUUCCAUAAGCGAUUCUCCCCAAACAGCGAACAGUCUCUGCUUUUUAUACUUUACAUACAAAUUGGCUAAUACAAACAAUUAAUACAUUUGUAAUGUAAAGAGAGCAGGAUGCAGCAUUGAUCGUUCGUGAAGUGAGUGAUUAUGGCAGGAUGCGUUUUCAAGUUGCCGAAGUGACAGAAUGCAAUUUCAAGCCGCCGACGUGUCUGGCUUGAACAAAAGGCCACUGACCUGGCCACUACAGUAUAAACAGAAGUUUAAUUCUUUUACAGAAGUUUCAUGCUCUUACAGAAGUUUUAUUCCCUUACAGAAUUACAGAUGUCUCACCUUUACAAACAUUUCCCACCCAAUCCUAUUCAGGCGGGAAGUUUAAGACAGUUUCUACAUACCCAUGUGUCGUAAGAUAAGGUGCAUAAAUUCCACGUACCCCUGUGUAGGAAGUAUCUACUUGAGGAAUCAUUCUGGAUAUUUAUGUUUCAUGUCUCAGAAUUUUCAAAAACACAAAGAUCAUUGUCAACUGACAUAGUUUUCUGCUACAAGUUCAAGCUGUGUCCUUCUGAUUUUGUAAUUAGUGCCAUGGCCAACAGCAAAUCAUCUAUGCAACUUGAAAUAACAACAUUCAUCAAAAAAAGUAACUCUGGCAAACAGCAUUCACAGCGACUUGAGCUGUCUUGACAAAGUACAAUUCAGCUGACAACCAGAGGCAUGCCUAAGUGUGGUGUGAAAAGUUAUACAACGAAAGAAAAAAAUAGCAGAGCAAAUUCAAAGAUCAUUUAGCAAUCCUUGAGCGAUAAAGGAUUUCUACAAGUGAUGGUUUUAUCUUUGUUUCCCUCAAAAUGGUGAAAUUCACCAAAAAAAUCCAAUGGAAGAUUUAUCACUCGUUGUUACUUGUAAACGUGCCGAAUGAGUCAGGCGAUUGACUUGAAAUUGGCAUAUUUUGUCCAAAUCCUGCCAACUAAGGCUAACUUGUUACAAAAUCCGGCCUUCAUGAUGCUUAACUAAACACAGGGAAAGCCUUUCAGACACAUUAUUUUUCUUUGUCAUUCUGUUCUUAACAUUUAGGAGGUUUGUUUCAUGAAAUGGUGCAUCAGUUAGCAUAAUUGCCUAUAUUCUCACUUUCUGCCUGUUUGUCUUUUCAGAAACUUGUUUAAACUCUUCACAACACUGUUGUAGUUUUCUAUUAAGU